UUCCGGGAACUAUCUUGAAGUCUGCAUUUCAUUGGACGGCUCUGGACUGGUGACCUGGAGACCUGGAGACCUGGAGACCGGUGUCCUCUGUGAAGUGGGUCGUCCCGCAAAGUGUGGUUCCUUCCUUCGGUGGAUUGUCUGAGUCCGCAGGCAGUCUCUGAGCAACAGUCGGCUGUGAUUGGGCUCCCGCACGAUCUUAACUCCACCUCCGUCUUUGAUCUCAGUGCCAUCCUUAAACCAACUGACCACCAAAGAUUCCUGAGGAGUAAAGGGCAUCUUGAAAGCAGCAUUCUGCCCCACUCUUAUUGUUACAGGUUUGGCGAACUUGUGGAGGUCGUCCGGGUCAAAUUCAGUGGUAAAAAUCUGACAUACCACCUCCUACAUCUGCGUGUGGUUGAUCAACGCCAGUGGCUUCCUCAGCUGAGUGGAUAACAGCAAUAACAAGAGUUGCUGACUCGGUGGGUUUGGAAAUCCCCAUGUCAUUCUUGGCAUAGACACGGAACUGGUACUGCCUUCCCGGUAUGAUGUUGAUGGCAGUAAACUUGUUGUUGAAGAGAUGGUCUGCCACAGUUUGCCAAGUACGCUUCGUGGAAUCACGCUUGGUGAUCACGUAGUGCAGCCUGUCAUCCUUCUUCUCAUCUGGAGAAGGAGUCCAGGAGACUGUCACUGUUCCUGACACAUUCUCAUCCAGCUCCACGGGUCCUGGAGGCUUGGGGUCAUCUAGAAAAUGGCCACGGAGCCCCUUUUGUUUCGCUGCCAAACGACCUCUUUCAACUGGAUCUACACAUUUCUACUGUCAUUGUUGUAGCCUCGCGGCUUUUUGCCCAACACUGUCUCCUCUGGACACGAGUUCCAGGCCCCUUUUGGAUCCCUCAUGACCCCGUAGCCUCCCAGUGCUCCCACUGGAUGUGGUCCAGGUCCACGGUUCAUGAGGUCAGGAACAUUGAUUUGACAUGGGAAUAUGAGUGUGAGCUUGUGUUUAUGUAAACACCUCAUGGGUUUCUAAUGCACUGUGGCACGCAGCCAUCACAAAUACGUGAGUCACAGGUUUGUGUGCUGCCUGCAGAGUUAUGAGAGAAUGCACUCGGAAAACUAAGUCCACACUUGGUGAGAGUGUUAGUGUUCUCACACUCACACAUUUCUGCAUGCCAAUCCCUUUUUUAGUUACUAUUGCAGCAGCUGAGAUCCAGUAAUUUCCCUUCUUAAAUGGCUGCUGUCAUAAAGCAAAGGCAGAGUUCAAUACUUUGAUAGGAAGAUUAGCAUGUGUGCUCUAUCAUGUCGGAUGGAAGUUAAAAUAUAAUCUUUGCUAAGCUGCAGUUUCUGUAGUGGAGGAUUUACAGAAGAGAUGUAACAGCUCAAUCUUAGCACUUUUUAAUAUACAGUUGUUUCUGCAAAACAUAAUUAGGGCUAGGAGGUUUAAUUAUAAUAAGAGUAGAUUAAACAGACUGUAAGGUAGAUUUUUCUCCCUGUAAUUUGAAAAUUGCUGUAUAAUUCAAUUGAUAUAAAACAAUAACAAUCAUUAAAAUGAAAGAAGCAAAAAAAAGCUCAUUCUUUGGUUGAACUGCUCAUGACAAGUAAACAAAUAAACCUGUGACAGCGGGUCCCGUUUCCUUGAUUUCAAGGGGCCACAAGCCAUUUGGUGUAAUCAAUUUUUUUUUUGAUGAAUAUAUGUUUUGUCUAAAAUCAUCUGCAAAGUAAAGAGCCACUAUAGACAUCAGACAAACAUGAUGGAGUGAGAAGUGCAAUAUUUCUCUCUGAAAUGUAGACCAGUAGCGGUUAUUUCAAGGUAAUAGAGUUAGUUGCUUACUUGCGUACGUACUUGCAAGGUACUGGAGUAAAAGUUUUCAAGCUUUGCUACUGUGCAGUGCUGUUUUUCUUACAAUCGCUGUCUCAUAACAAA